rnacentral:rRNA from 1 species
GACGAGCCUCACAAACGUUAUUCGGAAUUACUGGGCUUAAAGGGUGCGUAGGCGGCGCGGAAAGUUGGGUGUGAAAUCCCUCGGCUCAACCGAGGAACUGCGCCCAAAACUACCGUGCUCGAGGAAGAUAGAGGUGAGCGGAACUUACGGUGGAGCGGUGAAAUGCGUUGAUAUCGUAAGGAACACCCGUGGCGAAAGCGGCUCACUGGGUCUUCUCUGACGCUGAUGCACGAAAGCUAGGGGAGCAAACAGG